rnacentral:lncRNA from 1 species
AUGAAUAAGGGGAAACAUAUAUUGUGUUCCAAAAGUAAAUCAAGAACAAUGUUGGGUAUACCAAAAGCAAGGUGAGUAGGAAAUAUUUAAUCAGUACAACAAAUGAUCUGGAGGCUCAUAAUAAAAGGGAAACAUUUCUUUGUUCCAAAACUAAGGCAGGACGAUCAAUUCACAUUAAGUUAGAUACACAGAGUAGAGUUAGACAACAAAAUCAAGCCAGAGCGCACCUAUACAGUUCAACUAAAGCAUACUAUUUGAUAACUUCACGUGAUUGUCUUCACGUUCGACUUCUCACAUGGCACGUCACAUGAACCUGCUGUGAGUAUUUAGUUUAACCAAUCAAGCCACAGCCAAAAAAAUCAUGGAUAAUACGGUUAUGUUCUUUUAACUGACCGCUUGUGGAUAGUGAGCGAUGGUUUGCCCCAUAGUUCGCACCAUAUUGGUCCUAUGCGUAAGAGUUCAGUCUAACUUGCGAAGAACAAUCUAUUGAACAAUGGUGUGUAAGAGUUCAUUUAACAUGCAAAGUAUUGAACAAUGGCAUAAGGCCAGCAUGCUACCUCUUGUUAAGGUCCUCUCACAAAGACAUGGUUCGCUACAUGGAGCUCGACCCCUUGUCUUUUUGGCACGUUGGCGUUUAUGGCGGUGCUUACCUGAAUAUUUGAGACAACCAGCGUCGGAUACAACAUCGUUAAUAGGAAUUAGAGACAACGACGCUGGUACUCUAUAUAUACACCCAUACCUUCAUCAUCACUGAUGUAAAUAGCGUCGCUGAUUAUCGCCCAUUUCAUAAUGUGGUUAUUACUGGAGUCCUAGUAAUUGUGAAAGCAAAAAUGCAAGAGAGUGGGAUCAACGCAAACCUAGAGAGAAGAGUCCCAACAAAAAUAAAAUAUGGUUACUCUCAUAAGUGUUAAUGCGCAUUUUAUUUUGAACAUGGUCAUAUUCAGUGGAGAGGGAGGGAAAAAGCAGAGCAAAGAAAAUUGGUCAAGCUGAACUGAAAUCAUAUAUAAGCAGUACUCAUACUUUAACUAAGCACGAAAGGCAUUCAACACAUUGUAAUCUUGAAGCAAAAGUUUUUCGUAGAUAAAACAAAUAAUUGUUUGUGUCCUAAACCCAUCGCGUACAAGAACAUGAAAAAUAGCAAGUGUUUUGGUAUACUGAAGGAUGCAUCAGCCAAAAGGCUAUAACUACUCAGUCUCAGUUUAGUCCAACAACAAAUCUAAGUUUCUGUUCUUUCCAGCCAAUCACAAGCAUCCAAAUAUAUGUGUACCAACAUAGUCCAGUAUCUUAAUUAAAAGGCACUCAAACAACAUAUACGGAUUUAACUCUUUCUCAAAAUAUUACAUGGAUUUAUCAGUCGAUCCACAAGAAGGGUAGCUUUAGAAUUUCCGUAUCUUAUUUUGUUCUUAAUGCUAAAUCCAUUCAAGCUAUUUAUUUUGUACUAUCGAUCCAGUAGUCGUUGUACAGAAACAUAUCUUAAUCUUCGUUCUAAAUCUAUGUUGCAUGAUGUCACUUGACAGCAGACCUAUUCUCACAAGGCACAAAUAUUUACUGUCUCUACAAUAUAUAUAUUGUGCAAACAUUGUCAAGGAAAGAGAACAGUAAGCAUCACUGAAGUUCUGAAUUUAAAAUUUCAACCUUGGUGAAAUCAGAAAUAGCAGAGUCCAGUUCUCUUUGAAAUGCAUAUGUUGUACCUCUCCCAAUUGGUGUCUCUGGAUAAGCUGUACUU